rnacentral:rRNA from 1 species
ACUCAAAGGAAUAGACGGGGGCCCGCACAAGCGGCGGAGCAUGUGGAUUAAUUCGAUGCAACGCGAAGAACCUUACCUGGGUUUGACAUGCACUGGAUCGCCUCAGAGAUGGGGUUUCCGUAAGGCUGGUGCACAGGUGGUGCAUGGCUGUCGUCAGCUCGUGUCGUGAGAUGUUGGGUUAAGUCCCGCAACGAGCGCAACCCUCGUUCCAUGUUGCCAGCGGGUAAUGCCGGGGACUCAUGGGAGACUGCCGGGGUCAACUCGGAGGAAGGUGGGGAUGAGGUCAAGUCAUCAUGCCCCUUAUGUCCAGGGCUUCACACAUGCUACAAUGGCCGGUACAGAGGGCUGCGAAACUGUAAGGUGGAGCGAAUCUCGUAAAGCCGGUCUCAGUUCGGAUCGGGGUCUGCAACUCGACCCCGUGAAGUCGGAGUCGCUAGUAAUCGCAGAUCAGCAACGCUGCGGUGAAUACGUUCCCGGGCCUUGUACACACCGCCCGU